rnacentral:rRNA from 1 species
CACGGAGUUAGCCGAUCCUUAUUCAUACGGUACCUGCAAUAGAGCACACGUGCCCCAUUUUAUCCCCGUAUAAAAGCAGUUUAAAACCCGUAGGGCUGUAAUCCUGCACGCGACAUGGCUGGUUCAGGCUCGCGCCCAUUGACCAAUAUUCCUCACUGCUGCCUCCCGUAGGAGUCUGGUCCGUGUCUCAGUACCAGUGUGGGGGACCUUCCUCUCAGAACCCCUAAACAUCGUAGCCUUGGUGAGCCGUUACCUCACCAACAAGCUAAUGUUACGCAUGCCCAUCUGUUACCAAAGUUUUUUAACUAAAAUAGGAUGCCCUAUCGUAGUAUUAUGCGGUAUUAGUCCGUCUUUCAACGGGUUAUCCCCCGGUAAUAGGCAGGUUGCAUACGUGUUACUCACCCGUGCGCCGGUCGCCGCCAGGUAUUGCUACCCGCGAUGCCCCUCGACUUGCAUGUGUUAGGCCUGUCGCUAGCGUUCAUCCUGAGCCAGGAUCAAACUCU